rnacentral:rRNA from 1 species
AUGGGCGCAGCUGAUCAGCAUGCCGCGUGAGUGAUGAGGUCUUCGGGUUGUAAAACUCUUUGUGCGGGAAGAAAAUGACUGUACCGCAAGAAUAAGCCCGGCUAACUUCGUGCCAGCAGCCGCGGUAAUACGAAGGGGGCUAGCGUUGCUCGGAAUCACUGGGCGUAAAGGGUGCGUAGGCGGGUCUUUAAGUCAGGGGUGAAAUCCUGGAGCUCAACUCCAGAACUGCCUUUGAUACUGAGGAUCU